AUACGGAGGGUGCGAGCGUUAAUCGGAAUUACUGGGCGUAAAGCGCGCGUAGGCGGUUUGGUAAGUCGGAUGUGAAAGCCCCGGGCUCAACCUGGGAAUUGCAUUCGAUACUGUCAGGCUAGAGUAUGGUAGAGGGAAGCGGAAUUCCAGGUGUAGCGGUGAAAUGCGUAGAUAUCUGGAGGAACAUCAGUGGCGAAGGCGGCUUCCUGGAUCAAUACUGACGCUGAGGUGCGAAAGCGUGGGGAGCAAACAGGAUUAGAAACCCUGGUAGUCC
rnacentral:rRNA from 1 species